GACGAACGCUGGCGGCGUGCCUAAUACAUGCAAGUAGAACGCUGAAGGAGGAGCUUGCUUCUCUGGAUGAGUUGCGAACGGGUGAGUAACGCGUAGGUAACCUGCCUGUUAGCGGGGGAUAACUAUUGGAAACGAUAGCUAAUACCGCAUAAUAGUAGAUGUUGCAUGACAUUUGCUUAAAAGGUGCAAUUGCAUCACUACCAGAUGGUCCUGCGUUGUAUUAGCUAGUUGGUGGGGUAACGGCUCACCAAGGCGACGAUACAUAGCCGACCUGAGAGGGUGAUCGGCCACACUGGGAAUGGGACACGGCCCAGACUCCUACGGGAGGCAGCAGUAGGGAAUCUUCGGCAAUGGACGGAAGUCUGACCGAGCAACGCCGCGUGAGUGAAGAAGGUUUUCGGAUCGUAAAGCUCUGUUGUAAGGGAAGAACGAGUGCGGGAGUGGAAAGUUCACACUGUGACGGUAUCUUACCAGAAAGGGACGGCUAACUACGUG
rnacentral:rRNA from 1 species